rnacentral:rRNA from 1 species
CCUACGGGUGGCAGCAGUAGGGAAUAUUGCUCAAUGGGGGAAACCCUGAAGCAGCAACGCCGCGUGAAGGAUGAAGGUUUUCGGGUUGUAAACCCCUUUUGGUAGAGAAGAUAAUGACGGUAUCUAACGAAUAAGCACCGGCUAACUCCGUGCCAGCAACCGCGGUAAUACGGAGGGUGCAAGCGUUACUCGGAAUAACUGGGGGUAAAGAGCGCGUAGGCGGGAUUGCAAGUCCGAUGUGAAAGCCUAUGGCUUAACCAUCGAACUGCAUUUGAAACUGUUAUUCUGGAGUAUGGGAGAGGUAGGUGGAAUUCUUGGUGUAGCGGUAAAAUCCGUAGAGAUCAAGAGGAAUACUCAUUGCGAAGGCGACCUGCUGGAACAUAACUGACGCUGAUGCGCGAAAGCGUGGGGAGCAAACAGGAUUAGAUACCCCAGUAGUC